AGGCACUUUUCUGAUGUUUGUGCAUACAUAUUUAAAGCAUUUGCAUGUAUAGGCAUCUUUUAAAUCACAAUUUGCAUAAGUAUUGCUAUAUAAUUUCAACAUCAUUUGCAUGUUAUUAUUUUACAAUUCAUUUUUUUUCUCUGUCAUCUACCUCUCAAUUACAGUUUGGAGACUUGCAUGACCCUGAAAGAAUACAGCUAACAAAAAGCAUAGUGUUUAAACUUGCACAGAUUAUUAGACAGUCUCCAAAAUAUUUGAAAUAGUUCAAAGUAAUAUUUUAAAGCACUGCAUACUGAUGACUGUAUUCUUUUUAUCAAUAUUAGUAAAUCUGAAGAGUUAAGCCAUACUGGUAUAUUUUUUUGCAUCACUGAACUGGUGUAAAAAAAAAUCGAUGUGUCAUUUAAGUAUCCAAAGUCUACUGCCCUUUCUGUGAGAUGCUGCCUUUUUGUAUUUCCUUCUAUUUCUGAAUUAAAGGAAGAAACUAAAUGGAAACAGUAGGACAGUAGUACAUACAAGGUGUUACAAAAAAGUGUUGCAGAAUAUUUUACAUUCUUCAUCCCGAGAGAGAGGGAGAGAAAGCAAGGAAGGAAGGAAGGAAGGAAGGAAGGAAAUACAGAAUUAAAUACAAAAUUUUAGCUUUCUUUCUCUUUUGUGUGGACAGCUGGGGAAGCUGGUCACAAAAUACUCCAUUGGGAACAAGAAAUAGUGAUUGCUGGUCUUGAAAAAAAAAAAAAAGAAUUGUUUCAUCAAAUAUACUCUUCAGUUUAGUCUACAAACCAUUCUUGCCUUCUAGAACAGCCCACAAAGUCCACUGAAGUCAACAUAAACAAACAGUCAGACAAGCUUUAUCAGACUUUGAAAGUGUUGUGGCUUCAGUGGAGGCUUCAGCCUUACUUUCUCCAUAUCAAAUCUCAGGAAUGUCAGAUAUAACGCAACAAAUGCAGAAUUUAUUGCAACUGGCAAAGUUAGUUAUGCCUACAUAAUAUGCAUAAUGAAUCAGUCCCUAAAUUAACGCACAAUAUGUAUUAUUUUAGUCUAUGUAAAUAAGGAAAAACAAAAAGCAAAAACAAACAAACAAAAAACCUUCUGAAUGUAAAUUAUAAAUAGUGAGGAUAUAUUUAAAAAAAUAUCCAAACAAAUCUGUUUAACUCUGAAAGAAAAUAUCUCUAUCCUUUCAAGCCUUCUAGCAGUUUAUAAUCUUCAUUUUUAUUAUUUUCUUAGAAAGUGAUCUGUGUCUUUUGGAAGUGUAUAUAUGAAUAAAUAUAUAAGGGAAUAUAUAUCUGUAUGUGUGUAUGUGUGUAUAUAUGUAUUCCCCUAUAUAUAAAACUCUAAUUUAUAUAUAUUAUAUAUAUUUAUGUAUAUAUAAAAUAUAUAUAAUGUUUUAGAGUAUGUUGCAUAUUGUGCCUAAUAAGUGACACACACUUGUAAGCAGAUAAAAGAUUUCAGCAAAUGAUAGAACAAUGUAAAGAUUUUUUACAAUGGUAAAGUAUUAUUUUUCAGUUUAUGAUGGUUUUAUUUACAUCAGAAAUUCAUUCAGAAAACUUCAUUAUUUCACAACACUGAUAUUUCAAGCAUGACUCAACUAAAAGUUGACCUAAUUUCACUGAGAAUUUUCAUUGUUAGGCUGGAACUCCUCCACUGAGGGUGGAGUGGUUGGUUGUUUUUGUUCUGAAAACAUUAUCUGUGUGAUCUCUGAACAGACUGUGAAAUGUAGGCUGAUUUUUGAACACUGUAGUAUGUAUGUCAAAAUCAUAUGAGAUAUUUAUAGACAAGAUAUUCUUGUAAAAACUAUGGAAAAUGAGGAAACUGAAGGCUCUGCAAACUAUUCCAAUUAAAUUAUUGUGGGGAACUCUCCAGAACAUUAAAUUAUAAUAAUGGUGGCAAUUUUUAAUACAUUUUCCACAUACUGUUUUUAUUCUGUCUGCAGGUAGGCAAGUCUGUGAAAUGCCUACAUUUGUCUCUGACUCUUAAGAAGUAUUACCUUAUUUUAUUUUUUAAGAAUUUUUUCAGAGUGGUACAUAAAGCACUUACGUAAAUACCCUUCCUGAUCUGUGACACAGAUGUAUUUUCCAAUUCUGGCUUACUUGGAAAGUUGACCAUGUCUGCAGUCUACCAAUAGAACUUGGUAUUCCUAUGCAAUAAUUCAACAUGUAGUUGCCACUGUUGCUGGCUAAUAUUUUUUUUCAUCAUUUUUGUAUUAUGCAAUACUGUAUGGUUUUUACUUGAAUAUAUUGGCUAAACUUUUGUUUUGUUUUGACAAUCAAUUAUUAGCUAGUGGUGCUAUUUAUGUUCCAAAGAGAUUUGGGUGGAUGAUAACAUUUUCUUUCUAGAUGCCAAAUGCUUUUUUGACCUGACAAAAAUCAUUGUUCAUAGUGUAUAUUAAUCCUGUAAAAAUGCUUAUGCACUGCAUUACACUGUCUUUAAAUGCAUUUCUGCUCAUUAACUUCUAUUCCAGGACUGUACUAGUGUCUAAUAUGUCCAGUUUGUCCAUACACAUUUAUGGAAAAUUACAAAGAAAAAUAUGUAUGAUUAACAAUCAAAAAAAAAAAAAAAAAAAGAAAAGAAAAAAAAAGAAAGAAAUAAAAUUUCCAUGUAAAGUUUCUGGAAGUUUGUAAAUACUUUUUAAAAUUUUCAUUAUUUAGUUGAAAAUUAUUUUUAAUUUUAAAGUGCACAGAUAUUCAUAGAUACAUGCGUAGAUUAACUAUUCAGAUUUAGCUAAGACCUCAAAAUCUUGUAUACCUGUGUAUAGAUACAGAACUGAAAGGUUUCCAGUGCAGAAAAAAUAGUACUAGCAGUAAAUGUACUACCAGCCCUUUGUUAUCCCUAACCACAACAUAAUUAUAACUAAUUUUCAUAAAUUACUAAAAAAAAAAAAAAAUCUGGACACCCAGAACUUUUGUCAAUUAUUCUGAUUGGGAAAUUUUUCUGUAUUCCAUGUACAUGCACAAUCAUUCAUUUAUUACUAAUACUCAUUUUUGUAUAGGAGAGGAAUAUGUCCAUAUAAAUUGAAAUAGUGGUUAUAGAUAACUCUAUUCAUUCACUUCUUUCUAAGUGUUUCCGGAUCCAACUUAUUUGUCCCUUAGCUUAGGGCAACAGUCGCUAGCCUCAGUUAAAUUCUUUUUUAUUUAUGUAAUUUGAUUGGGUGUUUUAAAUUAGAGACAAUUGAUUAACAUCCUUUGCAUGCUAUCUACGUGCUUUUUAUAAACAAGCACAGCAAGCUAGUAGGAAACGAAGGUGUACCAUUUCUUAAUUGAACUGCUGAAUACAAAACAUAACUCCUAUGAAAACAAAUGACAUUUAUUUUCAGAUUUCUAAUAACUGCAAUAUUUAUUUUCAAGUAAUGUUAUCAGUAAUUUUCUUGAUAUGGAAAUGUUGAUUCAGCUAUAUUUAGAUUCUGUUUAGAUUCUAGCCCAUUGUAAUAUUUGCAUAUUUGAAUAUAUGUAAUAUUCAUAAAUAAUCUAUUUUGAGGCAUAGACCAAACAAAGAUUAAAAUUAAAUUUAAAAAUAUAUAGUGGUAAAACUGUUCUUUGUACAAUGAACUGGUGCCAAUACUGCUCUUUCCAGUUUGUUUUUGAUGUUUAUGAUAUUUAACUUUGAUCAAUGACAUUGAUGUUAUCUCUUGCAUGGAAAACAUAUGUUGCCCCCUUGAAUGUAAAUGCCAUGUUAAAACUUUUCUCAGUUAAGGAUAGAAGUAAAUGCUAAUGGAUUGAAAUCUUCAGUUUUCACUUGAAUACCUUCAAGAAUUAGAAUAAUUGAAUCAGUGAAUGAUAGGAUAUCUUGAGUUGGAAGGGACCCACAAGGAUCAUCAUACUCAGUUCCUGGCAAAAAAUUCAAACCAUAUUUCUGAGAGCACUGUCCUAACGCUCUCUUGAACUCCCUCAGCUCAGUACCAUGACCACUGCCCUGAGGAGCCUGUUCCAACCUGCCCCUCCCCUGACACACCUCCAUGCCGUUCCCUCCGGCCCUGUGGCUGUCACACAGAGCAGAGCUCAGCGCUGCCCCUCCACUCCCAGUGAGGAGCAGCAGCCACCAUGAGGCCACCCCUCAGCUCCUCUCUCUGUGCUGAGCACACCCAGGAACCUCAGCUGCUCCUCAUAUGUCCUGCCCUCUAGACCCUUCAUCAUUGUUGUAGCCCUCCUUUGGACACUCUGAUUUAUGUCCUUCUUAUAUUAUGGCACACAAAGAUGUGGGCAGUGCUUGAGGUGGGGCUUCACCAGCACGGAGCAAAGCAGAGUAAUCUCUUCCCUUGACCAGCUAGCAGAGCUCGGCGUGAUGCACCGGAAGGAAGUCACUGGGAAGCUUCCAUGAUGACCUUUCUGUCACCUUCCUUUAAGUGCAGAUCAGACAACUACCAGGAGAGCCUGAGGUGAAAAUUGCUUGCGUCUAGUUUUUUGCACAUUCUCCAGUUUACAGCUAAGAAUCUACAAUACCAAACAACUACACAAUACCUUGCUCUCUUCAAAGUGCUCAGUUCAGAGGCUCAGCUUAUUAAAAGUUAUUUCAAGGAUUAUCUGUUUUGAACAUAUUCCAAAUUCUUCCUCACUGUGCCCCAAACUCAGACAAAGGACAACCAGAAAACUUUUAGGCUGAACAGAUGGGGUGGUUUUUUCUCUGUUAGUCAUGCACUUCAGUGUGUAUGACUAUAUUCCAGUGGAAAAACUUACAGUUUUUAAAUUUAGGGAAUUCUCUUUAAGAUAGAUUUUGAGAAAGAUC
rnacentral:lncRNA from 1 species